UGGGGAAUUUUGGACAAUGGGCGCAAGCCUGAUCCAGCCAUGCCGCGUGCGGGAAGAAGGCCUUCGGGUUGUAAACCGCUUUUGUCAGGGAAGAAAUCUUCUGAGUUAAUACCUCGGGAGGAUGACGGUACCUGAAGAAUAAGCACCGGCUAACUACGUGCCGGCAGCCGCGGUAAUACGUAGGGUGCAAGCGUUAAUCGGAAUUACUGGGCGUAAAGCGUGCGCAGGCGGUUUUGUAAGACAGAGGUGAAAUCCCCGGGCUCAACCUGGGAACUGCCUUUGUGACUGCAAGGCUUGAGUGCGGCAGAGGGGGGAUGGAAUUCCGCGUGUAGCAGUGAAAUGCGUAGAUAUGCGGAGGAACACCGAUGGCGAAGGCAAUCCCCUGGGCCUGCACUGACGCUCAUGCACGAAAGCGUGGGGAGCAAACAGGAUUAGAUACCCUGGUAGUCCACGCCCUAAACGAUGUCAACUGGUUGUUGGGAAGGUUCCUUCUCAGUGACGUAGCUAACGCGUGAAGUUGACCGCCUGGGGAGUACGGCCGCAA
rnacentral:rRNA from 1 species